UCCGACCAUCGCCGACCGCCUCCGCCACUGCGGAUCGCCGGCCCAUCUCCACGCGGGUCUUCUCCCUAGAUUCCCCGCAGCCGUGACGCUUCUCUCCUCCCGUGCGCGCCCCCACGGAAAACCCUAGUCGUGCGGCUCAGGGUUCGCCGGCGCGGCCGCGUCCCCUUCCCCGCAUCUUCGGCUGCUCCCCUCGUCAACGACCCCGCUCCGUCCUCCGAUUCCAUGGCUCCUCCAGCCCGACGCCUACGACCACGUCCAGGUUCUCUGCGUCGACCACGUGCUGCUCUGCCUCCGGAUCCCCUCCGUCGAGCACCUCCUGCUCCGUAGAUUGAUCCAGGGCCGGCAUCGGCAUCAUCGGCCGCUUCCUGCUCUGCCUCCGGAUCCCCUCCGUCGAGCACCUCCUGCUCCGUCGCCAGCGCCCCUCCGCCGCCAAGGCCCAACACUGACAGCGGCCGAUGCAUGCCCAGAAGUAGCAGUCCUAGGUUGGGAUCGGAGGUGGUCAACUGAAAUUGAACCGGCGUCCUGCGGGGGCUACCACAACGCCUGCGAACUGGCAUCUAGCCCCUUGCAAUUUUGCGUCAGGUUGCAGUUUGGGUAAUUCCCAUGGAGAUACCAAUAGUCAAUUCCAAAAGAUAGGGACCAUGACAUCUAGGGCCUCCUCGUCGACAACCAGCGUUUUCCCAUCGAGCAUCGCCGACCAGACUGCGUGCAUGAAGGUCGAGGUGCACACCGUCGCCGGCGAGCGAGGAGGUCGAGCAGAUCCUCGCCGACGUGCGGGUGCUCGCUGGCGUGUGCAUCACAUCGUCACCGAGCCUCGCUGGUGGUGGCGCACGGCGUUGUGAUCCGCGAAUCAGCCCACGAGCGCCGUCCGUUUCCAUCGACGAUGAAUGGCAUGCAUCAUCUGCAGGUCCUCGCCGACGUGCAGGUGCUGGCUGUGCGUCCUCAGCGAGCAGCUAGGGCGUACUCAGUCCGAGUCGGCCAAAGCCGACAACAUCCGUAUCCAGGGAUAUCGAGAAGGGCAGGUAACCCGUCUGUUUAAUUCCUUAGAAUCAAAGGGCAGGCUCCGGUACUACUCUUGUUCAAAUUGAGACCAAAACCCUACUACCAGUUCAUGUCAUGAUUCAGUUUUAGCGCUGAGAUUCUAUUUUUGGAAAAUUUGUGUGGAUGUUGUGAAUGCACUUGAAGUAUUAAAUCACAUGGUUAGCAUAG